GAACGAACGCUGGCGGCGUGCCUAACACAUGCAAGUCGAACGAGAAAGGGGCUUCGGCUCCGAGUAAAGUGGCGCACGGGUGAGUAACACGUAGGUAACCUGCCUCUAAGUUUGGGAUAACCUGUCGAAAGACGAGCUAAUACCAAAUAAGACCACAGUCUCCUUGGGGACAGGGGUCAAAGGUAGCCUCUAUUUAUAAGCUAUCGCUAAGAGAUGGGCCUGCGUACCAUUAGCUAGUUGGUGAGGUAACGGCUCACCAAGGCAAAGAUGGUUAGCUGGUCUGAGAGGAUGAUCAGCCACACUGGAACUGAGACACGGUCCAGACUCCUACGGGAGGCAGCAGUGGGGAAUAUUGCGCAAUGGGCGAAAGCCUGACGCAGCAACGCCGCGUGAGUGAUGAAGGCCUUCGGGUCGUAAAGCUCUGUCGGAGGGAACGAAUGCUCCUGAGGUUAACAGCCUCGGGAGGUGACGGUACCCUCAAAGGAAGCACCGGCUAACUCUGUGCCAGCAGCCGCGGUAA
rnacentral:rRNA from 1 species